UACCUAUGACAUUUAAAGAAGUGUGCUGUGUGAAGGACUGAGAGCCCUGGACGGGAGAUAUUUAUGUUUGGACACUUUAAGUUUGAUACUUCCAGACCCCGCCCCUCCUAAAAAGACAAUAAAUGCCCGUUUGGCUUGCUGCAAAACCAAUCCUGUGUCUUGGUGUACCUAAUGAAGUGACCAAGGACUCCAUGGAGACUGCAGACUGUUUGUUGUCGUUGCAGAAAAGGACACACAUGAUGAGGACCAAUUUCCAAAUAAUCCUGCAGAGGCUCCCCUUGAAGAAUAAUUUGUAUUUCCAUGCAACUCAUCCUGGAUUAGUGUACAUUAUAAGACAUUUCCGAGCCCCUUACGUCACUUACUGGCGUAAUCACACCCUGAUUUUCUGAGAACGAUGCAGAUUUCAUGACAGCGAUCACAGUUUGGAGCUGCAAGCGUAAAGACGUCAGCAGAUAGAGCACAAAUAUGUCCGCACGUACACAUCAACAUGCUAUAGAGCCCCCAUAAUGUCAAUGCUGCUUCACACUGCACUGAAGAGCACACUUAGCUGCAUGUUUGCAUCCAUUAAAGAACAUGCUUCCAUGCUUUCAGACGUACAUAUACACACAGUACUGCAGUAAUGGUGCUCUUUGGCGUGACUGGUCGUAAAGAAACAAUACCGUCCCAUCAUUGAUUAUUUAAAAUGCUCCGUUAAAUAAUGUAAAUAAAACAUGGCUGCUGCUGCUGCAACUGGUAACACACAAUGUGAAUACGCAACCUAUUCUACAUAAAAUGUCGUUGUGUGAUGUUUCGUAGGGCUGGGAAUCUUUGGGCACCACACAAUUCGGUUUGACUCGAUUCCUGGGUGUAAAGAUUUGAUUUACAAUCGAUUCUUGGUUUAAAAUCAAUACUUUUUGAAUAAUGUUGGGUUAGGGUUGUACGUAUAUUGUUAUUGAAAAUGCUGUUUUGCACUGAUAUCUUUGACUCACUGGAGGAAUUCUAUCCUAUUCCAUUUUGAUUGUACUUGAAUCACAGGGCAUAAUGCAUAUAUCAAACUAUAGAAUAGUCAUUACUGUCAUCUUUUGUGGUCAUGUUCUGUUUGGUUUGGGACUCAUUGUGCACUCUUGUUUGUUUAAUCACCAUGACAACCAUUAGUUCACCUGAUUCAUUUGGACUCACGCACCUGUGUUAAUCACGCCACUAUUAUUUAAGCUUGUAGUCGCCAGGCGGUCGGCCUGGCGUCAUUGUUGUUGUUCCAUGCUCUGUUCAUUCUCUUCAUGCCACAGUUCGUGCUCCAUGCCCUGCACGUAAGUUUGGUUUAUUCAAGUCACAGUUAGCGAGUUUUUAUGUCCUAAGUUUUUUGCCUUUGUGGUAGUUUUUGUUUU